AUAAUUAUCUGCUUUUUCUGAAUUCUACUGAUCUGUUCUUAUCAGCUUCAUAUCUGGUAUGUCGGGCGAUGCCCGACUCUUACAUUAAACUGAUUUUUGGAUACCGGCCAUGGGAUUGCAGCUUGCUUCACCCUGGCCACGGGUUGUCUCGGUAAUUGGCCACACACCUUGGCCACUCUCACCAG